GCUGGCAUAGCUCAGUGGUUGAGCAUCUACCUAUGAACCAGGAGGUCCUGGUUCAAUUCCUGGUCAGGGCA
rfam:Myotis brandtii contig177175, whole genome shotgun sequence.